rnacentral:rRNA from 1 species
AAGAGAGAGACAUGCGCGCAUAUCAAUAAGCGGAGGAAAAGAAACUAACAAGGAUUCCCUUAGUAACGGCGAGUGAAGCGGGAAGAGCUCAAAUUUGAAAUCUUCAAGGUUUUACCUUGACGAAUUGUAGUUUAAAGAAGUGUUUUCUGCUGAAGUUUUGGUAAAAGUUCUUUGGAAUAGGACAUCAUAGAGGGUGAGAAUCCCGUAUUUGACCAUUAUUUUCAGCUUUGUGAUACACUUUCAAAGAGUCGGAUUGUUUGGGGAAUGCAGUCCAAAAUGGGUGGUAAAUUUCAUCUAAAGCUAAAUAUUGGCGAGAGACCGAUAGCGAACAAGUACCGUGAGGGAAAGAUGAAAAGAACUUUGAAAAGAGAGUUAAACAGUACGUGAAAUUGUCAAAAGGGAAGCGUUUGACACCAGUGUUGUUUUCUCGAAAAUCAAUUAAAAAUGGCUCGAUUUUGUAUUGUUGAGACCUUAAAAGCUCACUGUACAUUUUUCGUGUCUUUUUUAAUGCACUUUUCGUUUAACAAGUCAACAUCAGUUUCUUUUGUUGUAAAAGGGUCAUUGGAAGAUGGCUUUCUUUUCGGAGAAAGUGUUUAUAGCCUUUGGCCUCUGCAAUCGGAGAGACUGAGGUCUGCAGCGUAGACUCUUCGGGGUUAGAUACAUUUGUGCUAAGUUAUAGCUUUUUAUAGACAACUUGUUGACUAUGAUUAGUCAUUGUAGCUUACUCGCUUAUGCUAUUUUACCUACGCUUAGGAUGUUGAAGUCAUCGUAUCGCGC